GACUUCUACUGGAAGUCCCAAGAGUUUUCUUGCAAAGAGUUCCAGAGAGCAGCUCCCCCCUUUCUAUUCGAACAAGAGUGUCCCCAGGAGUAAUAAUACCUCUUUCCGUAUCUGUGUGCCAGGCAGCAGUUCUGAUAAGAUUUAUCUGCUUUGGAAUGAUAAGAUUAAAAACUUGUUUUCCAGUCCAAAGCGGUCGUGGUUUCAGAAUUGCAGGAGCAGGAAUUUUCCCAUCAAAAUCCUCCCACCACAUCAAGAUGUUCAUAAAAACAUCCUUCUCUAUGAAGGUAUCCCUCUUGGUGAUCUUCCGGCAUCCUAAAAGUGUAUCCUGGACAAUUCCCAUCACAGGCCGAUUUGAUUGAGGCGACACAAUGCACUUAGGCACCAUCAUCAGCUCCAACACCUCUGCUCUGGUUUCAAAUGAUUGAGGAACAUGCAUGUUCAUUUCAUCACCAUCAAAAUCAGCAUUAUAUGGUGAAGUAACAGACAAGUUCAAACGGAAAGUUGAAUAUG
rnacentral:misc_RNA from 1 species